UACGGAGGGGGCGAGCGUUAUUCGGAAUCAUUGGGCGUAAAGGGCGCGUAGGCGGCCCCGUAAGUCUUGGGUGAAAGCCCUCGGCUCAACCGAGGAAUUGCCUUGGAUACUGCGGGGCUCGAGGCUGGAAGAGGGCAGUGGAAUUCCCGGUGUAGCGGUGAAAUGCGUAGAUAUCGAGAGGAACACCUGCGGCGAAGGCGGGUUGCUGGGCUGACACUGACGCUGAUGCGCGAAAGCGUAGGGGAGCGAACGGG
rnacentral:rRNA from 1 species